AUAGAUAUUACGAAGAACAUCAGUGGCGAAGGCGGCCUGCUGGUCUACAACUGACGCUGAGGCACGAAAGCGUGGGGAUCAAACAGGAUUAGAUACCCUGGUAGUCCACGCCGUAAACGAUGAGUGCUAAGUGUUAGGGGGUUUCCGCCCCUUAGUGCUGCAGCUAACGCAUUAAGCACUCCGCCUGGGGAGUACGACCGCAAGGUUGAAACUCAAAGGAAUUGACGGGGAUCCGCACAAGCGGUGGAGCAUGUGGUUUAAUUCGAAGCAACGCGCAGAACCUUACCAGCCCUUGACAUCCCGAUCGCGGUUUCCAGAGAUGGAUUCCUUCAGUUAGGCUGGAUCGGUGACAGGUGCUGCAUGGCUGUCGUCAGCUCGUGUCGUGAG
rnacentral:rRNA from 1 species